GGGGAAAUAGUCUAAUAAGGAUAAAAGCUUGUCAUGUUUUUGGUGGGGUUUGUUUAAAGUACCCCUUUUCCUU
rnacentral:tRNA from 1 species